rnacentral:rRNA from 1 species
GCAGGCUUAACACAUGCAAGUCGAGCGGGCAUAGCAAUAUGUCAGCGGCAGACGGGUGAGUAACGCAUGGGAACGUACCUUUUGGUUCGGAACAACUGAGGGAAACUUCAGCUAAUAUCGGAUAAGCCCUUACGGGGAAAGAUUUAUCGCCGAAAGAUCGGCCCGCGUCUGAUUAGCUAGUUGGUGAGGUAAUGGCUCACCAAGGCGACGAUCAGUAGCUGGUCUGAGAGGAUGAUCAGCCACAUUGGGACUGAGACACGGCCCAAAC